rnacentral:rRNA from 1 species
AUUGAACGCUGGCGGCAUGCCUUACACAUGCAAGUCGAACGGCAGCACGGGUGCUUGCACCUGGUGGCGAGUGGCGAACGGGUGAGUAAUACAUCGGAACAUGUCCUGUAGCGGGGGAUAGCCCGGCGAAAGCCGGAUUAAUACCGCAUACGAUCCACGGACGAAAGCGGGGGGCCUUCGGGCCUCCCGCUAUUGGGUUGGGCGAUGGCUGAUUUGCUAGUUGGUGGGGUAAAGGCCUACCAAGGCGACGAUCAGUAGCUGGUCGGAGAGGACGACCAGCCACACUGGGACGGAGACACGGCCCAGACUCCUACGGGAGGCAGCAGUGGGGAAUUUUGGACAAUGGGCGAAAGCCUGAUCCAGCAAUGCCGCGUGUGUGAAGAAGGCCUUCGGGUUGUAAAGCACUUUUGUCCGGAAAGAAAUCCUUGGCCCUAAUACGGUCGGGGGAUGACGGUACCGGAAGAAUAAGCACCGGCUAACUACGUG